rnacentral:sRNA from 2 species
UGAGUAAGUCAGCCUAAUCCUCUUGAGAUAGAAGAUAGAGGUACGGGGGAACCAACUUUGGGGCGUAUUUUGACAGAAAAAGCAUCCUAGUUUCUGCUAAGAGGGACAUCUCUCAGUCCUAGCCCAUCAGCUAACCUCGUCGGCAUUGGGAGAAGCCUG